UACGUAGGGUGCAAGCGUUGUCCGGAAUUAUUGGGCGUAAAGAGCUCGUAGGCGGUCUGUCGCGUCUGCUGUGAAAAUCCAGGGCUCAACCCUGGACCUGCAGUGGGUACGGGCAGACUAGAGUGAUGUAGGGGGGACUGGAAUUCCUGGUGUAGCGGUGAAAUGCGCAGAUAUCAGGAGGAACACCGAUGGCGAAGGCAGAUCUCUGGGCCGUAACUGACGCUGAGGAGCGAAAGCAUGGGGAGCGAACAGG
rnacentral:rRNA from 1 species